rnacentral:rRNA from 1 species
UACGGGGGGGGCAAGCGUUGUUCGGAAUUACUGGGCGUAAAGGGCUCGUAGGCGGCCAACUAAGUCAGACGUGAAAUCCCUCGGCUUAACCGGGGAACUGCGUCUGAUACUGGAUGGCUUGAGUUUGGGAGAGGGAUGCGGAAUUCCAGGUGUAGCGGUGAAAUUCGUAGAUAUCGGGAGGAACACCGGUGGCGAAGGCGGCGACCUGGGUAGAUACUGACGCUGAGGCGCGAAAGCGUGGGGAGCAAACAGG